GUGGGGAAUCUUGCGCAAUGGGCGAAAGCCUGACGCAGCGACGCCGCGUGGGGGCAGAAGGCUUUCGGGUUGUAAACCCCUUUCAGGAAGGACGAAGCCACUCGGGUUAAUAGCCCAGCGGGUGACGGUACUUCCAGAAGAAGCCCCGGCUAACUACGUGCCAGCAGCCGCGGUACUACGUAGGGGGCAAGCGUUGUCCGGAUUUAUUGGGCGUAAAGAGCGUGUAGGCGGUUAGGUAGGUCCGUUGGGAAAACUCGAGGCUCAACCUCGAGACGCCGAUGGAACCCAUCUGACUAGAGUCCGGAAGAGGAGAGUGGAAUUCCUGGUGUAGCGGUGAAAUGCGCAGAUAUCAGGAAGAACGCCCGUGGCUAAGGCGGCUCUCUAGUACGUGACUGACGCUGAGACGCGAAAGCGUGGGGAGCGAAC
rnacentral:rRNA from 1 species